rnacentral:miRNA from 1 species
AUAGCAUGUCGCAUUCCAACGC